AGAGUUUGAUCCUGGCUCAGGAUGAACGCUGGCGGCGUGCUUAACACAUGCAAGUCGAACGAAGCACUGGAGCGGAAUCCCUUCGGGGAGGAAGCGCCUUUGACUGAGUGGCGGACGGGUGAGUAACGCGUGGGUAACCUGCCCCAUACAGGGGGAUAACAGCCGGAAACGGCUGCUAAUACCGCAUGUACAUGCGGGGCGCAUGCCCCUGGAUGGAAAGCAUUAGCGGUAUGGGAUGGGCCCGCGUCUGAUUAGGCAGUUGGCGGGGUAACAGCCCACCAAACCGACGAUCAGUAGCCGGCCUGAGAGGGCGACCGGCCACAUUGGGACUGAGACACGGCCCAAACUCCUACGGGAGGCAGCAGUGGGGAAUAUUGCACAAUGGGGGAAACCCUGAUGCAGCGACGCCGCGUGGGUGAAGAAGUAUUUCGGUAUGUAAAGCCCUAUCAGCAGGGAAGAAAAUGACGGUACCUGACUAAGAAGCACCGGCUAAAUACGUG
rnacentral:rRNA from 1 species